rnacentral:lncRNA from 1 species
UAUGGGAUAGAUAAUUCAUUCUUUCGGUGUUCAAAUCUCAUUGCAGCUCGAAAUCUACUGAACUGGAUGAUCUAUAGAGGAGUGACUUAGCUACGAUAAAUCUGAGAAGAAGCAGCUUCUUUUAUUAUUUUUGAAAGGUGUGUUCUGCCAAAUAGUGUAAACAAAAUAUGUUUUAAAUUUUUUUAGUCUCGAUUCUAAAAAAGAAUUUUCGGCUGAUAUAAGAGAAUAUUAUAUCAUUUUUAUAUGUUUUAUAGGUAUCAUAUUCUUCCUAAUGAAAAAUAAAGUAUUCUUCAUAUUUUUGUCUCGAUUUUAAGGCAUCCCUAUUGUCUAAUUAAUACGCAUGUGUUAGUUAAAAUGCUUCAAGAUAAGGACUCACCAAGGAAAUUAGCGGAAUUUUCUUUGAUAUUUAACAUUUCACUUCUUUAAAGCUUGCUCUUUAUAUAAUAUUCGUAGAUUAUGUAAUGUGAGGCUGAUGCAGUGGCAAAUUCAACGCUCUUAUCUCUAAAUUUGUCUUUUCUUUGUUUCGGGUAAACUUGCUUUUUGUUUAAUGAAUUGUAGUUCAGCCAGAAAAAUGUAACUAUGUAUAAUGAUAUUUGCUUGGUGUUUACCACAUUAUAGCUUCAAUGUAACAAAAGCAAUCCACGUUUAAGUUUUGAAUGAAUCCUCAAAAAUUUAACGAGAUGUGUAUAGCCAGCAUAUAUAUAUAUAUAUAUAUAUAUAUAUAUAUAUAUUCUAAAAUGUAGAAGUACUAUAUCUAAUUAUUACGAGUAUACAUAUCUCUUUUGUAAAAUGUAUGGACACUAUAUCUAAUUAUUACAAAUUAUUUCAAAAUCAACAAAUAUUAAAAUGUUAUAAAAUACUCUAAUAUAAAAUGCUAAUAUAGUCUUAUAGAAUAAUUCUAGGAACAAUGAUGCAAGAUUGAAAGAAAAUUAAUGCAUAGUCAUGUGUUAGACAAAUACUUUAUUUUUCAUGACCAUAAAAUUAAUUUAAAUUUCACUAGAACAUAUAUUAUCAUCGAAAUCCGGCGCGUAGCGCCAGGCUACCCUAGUGUAUAUAUAUAUAUUAUAUGCUUCCAAUAAGCAUCCCCUUCUUGAUAUAUUUUAUAAAAUUCGCUUUUACGCUUCCAAAGGUUUCUGCUUCCGUGCAUCUUCCUGUGAUUCCAUGCAACAUAAGUUUGCAGAAUUUGUUCGUUUCCAAGUUCUUUUAACAAUUUUGCGAAUCCACUUCCUUCUCACGGUUAGCAACUGACAUGGCCCUUAUUCUGCCCCUGCAGACGAGUGUGAUACAGUGCCUUGCUUUUUCAUUUUCCAGGCAUUAGGUGAUCCUCUUUGAAAUGCUUUAACAUGUGAGAGUUAUCACCACAUAUGAGAAGGUCAUCAGCAUAUAUCAACACACCCAACUCAAUAUUUUUAAACGAGUAUGAGAAGAGUGAGUAGUCUUCAUAAAACUAAAAAAAAUCAAAAACGAAGUACCGCAUCUGAGAGAGGCAAAGAAUGCUAAUGUAAAUGAAAUCUGAAAGAUGCAUUGAAUUGUGUGUACAAUAUAUAGACUGUGUAAAUAUACUUGCCUAAGUACCCUACUUGUAAUGUAUUAUAUAUAUGGUGUAAUCUCAGUAUAAUAAGAUCAUUCAAUCAUUAACCUCUAUUGAGUACAUUCAACAAUCCUGAGACAAGAGAUCCAAGUUUGUGAUGUCAAGACUCAGGAUGAUCCAGAUAAGAGCAGAGGAGAUGUAUUUGUUUCUGAGCGUUUUCUGCAG